AGAUGGGUCCAUGAAAUGGGAAAAAGGUUUCGGCCCUUUUUUUAGGAGUAGAUUUCCUCUCAUCUG
rnacentral:tRNA from 1 species